rnacentral:rRNA from 1 species
CCUACGGGAGGCAGCAGUAGGGAAUAUUGCUCAAUGGGGGAAACCCUGAAGCAGCAACGCCGCGUGGAGGAUGAAUGUUUUCGGAAUGUAAACUCCUUUUGUUAGAGAAGAUAAUGACGGUAUGUAACGAAUAAGCACCGGCGAACUCCGUGCCAGCAGCCGCGGUAAUACGGAGGGUGCAAGCGUUACUCGGAAUCACUGGGCGUAAAGAGCGCGUAGGCGGGAUAGCAGGUCAGAUGUGAAAUCCUAUGGCUUAACCAUAGAACUGCAUUUGAAACUGUUAUUCUAGAGUAUGGGAGAGGUAGGUGGAAUGCUUGGUGUAGGGGUAAAAUCCGUAGAGAUCAAGAGGAAUACUCAUUGCGAAGGCGACCUGCUAGAACAUAACUGACGCUGAUGCGCGAAAGCGUGGGUAGCAAACAGGAUUAGAUACCCGAGUAGUC